GCCCCAGUGGCUCAACAGUUAAGUGCUCAGCUGCUAAAUGAGAGGUUGGUGGUUCGAAUGCACCCAGCAGCU
rnacentral:tRNA from 1 species